rnacentral:lncRNA from 1 species
UUUUGUCACGCAUCUACAGGUUUCAUGAUUGCUGACUAAAUAUAGUUAGACACCGAAUUAAAAGAAAAGCAAAAAAAGACAUAGAAGCCCUAGCACACAAAUUACUUCGUUCAGCCCUAUCAUCUCCUCUUCUGUCUUCCUCAUUUCUUCAUUCAGCGCACCCUCUAGUUCCUCCGCCACCGCCCUUUGCCCACCACCGUCAUCCGCAGCAGCAGCCUUUUCCGCCCUCCCGCCUUCCACCAGUAGCAGCCUGUGCCGCCCUCCACCGCCAGCCCCAUCUACAGCCGCCAUCUUAGUCGCUGUUGAGACCACCGUCGUUCGAUUUAUCUCGUGUUUGGCCAAGGUAUUUUAAUCUUUCACUUUUGUUUCUAAUUAAUUGCAAAUUUGAAAUUAAUCAAACAAGAGUUAAAUCUGCAGUGGAUAUUUAGAUUUGAAAAAAUUUCGAAUUUUUAGAGCAAAACACUAAUGGCUUUGUUGGACAUUAAAAAGUGGGUUUCAUCCCAUGUUGACUGUAUAUAUGCAUAUGUGUGUGUGUAUAAUGUACAUAUAUGCUUACUUUUUUUUUUCUGUAAUCUUUUUUAUUUUUUAGGAAAAAUAUAGAUAAUGGAUCUAAGAAAGUGUUUGUUCAAAAAAAAUGCUUUUAAAAUUCAUAAAUUUAGAGUCCUUCCAAAAAAUAUAUAUCCAAACAAGCCCUACAAAACGAUGAUUUUAAAUUCACUGUGUAUUUUUAGUCCAAAUAAAGUAAUUGGAAUCCUUUAAAAAAAAAAUUAUAUCCAAACGGAGGAUUUGAAAUCCAUAUAGAUUUGCAAUGCUUAAACAUUUAUCUACAUAUCCAAACCAAACGGAGCCUUAUGGUAAUCAUGUGAAUUUGGGAGUUUGUUGGCUCUUGGAUGUUGGGAAUUUGGGAGUAAUCAGAUUGUGAUACACAUGUUAAGAUUUUGCAGUGAAAUCUUUUUUUGUUUGUUGGCUCUUUGGAUGUUGGAUGCAUGCCACAUGUUUGAGUUAAUUAUUCAUUUUGACAUGCAUUGUUUAUGAUAAAUAAUUUUAAUAUCUAAUUAAUUUGGUGGUUUAUUAAUAUUCUAAUUUCAUUGAACUUAAGAACACCUAGCAUUAUCACCUAAGUAAUUUAACAACCAAGCGAGACUGCUAUGCAAGACUCGGCAUAAAAUUGUUUGUAUCUCAUUUUAUUUAGUCUUUUGUAAAUUCAGUUUAUUGUAUUUGUUGAAAUUAAUAGAAAUUGUUGUUGAAAUUAUGUAUUUUUAUAUUUUUACCCAAUAGAUUCAAUAUAAAGAGGUAAUUCACUUCUACAUUAAUUUGGCGAAUUCCCAACCCUAUCAAAUAUUGAGUAACUAAACUUCCAUGGGCGGAGCUAAGUGAGUUGCAUUGAAUCUAUCUAUUAUUUAAAAAAAAAAUUAGAUUACAUAGUACUAUGUAAAUUUUUUUGGAUAUAUUUAUAAAUUGACAUCACUAAAAUUAUUUUAAUAAAAUAUAAAUAAUGGUCUCGUUUUUUCCUAGAAAGUUGAACUUAAUUGAUAAUCAUUUUUUAUUGUAGCAAUAAAGUUUUGUUUUACAUAUAAUUCGGGGCCAUUUUGAACUAAGUUUGCGUUAUUGCGAAUAUAUGAUAGACAUUAUGUAAUACCCCGAAACUCAUUAAUUACCUUUAUUUAUGUUUUAAUGAUUCAUUUUUUUUAUUUCUUAGGGUCAAAGUGACCAAUUGAGAGUAGGUUGUAACUCAAACUCUUGGAGGAGGGCACAUGGGAUUAUUUCCCAUGUGUAUCUCAAAUUAUAUGCACACACCCAUAUACACACUACACUUUCAACUCACACACACAGAGAAGAAGAGGAAGGGAAGAGAAACUUGGAGGGUCAAAUUCCAAGCCAUAGGAAGUCAUUGGAAGCUCCAUCAAACUUGAAGAAGGUAAUACCUUAAUCUUGGUGAUAUAUGUAUAUGUUGUGGAUUUUUUGGAUUUCUGGUUUGGAUGCACUUAAGAGGGUUUUAAUUUGUAUAAGAGGACAGACACCCUUGAGUCCCUAAUUGACAAAUCUUUAGAGCUUGAAGCUCCAAAUGGAGAGAAUUAAGGAGUUGGGAUCAAAAUUCCCAAUUUGUAACGGGUUUAGAGUUUUAAAUUUUAGAUCCCUUUUGUUUUAAUUGUUCUUUUUCCUCCAUUUUGAGUUAUUGUCACCCUAGGGAGUCCAUCUUUAGACCCUUUGAAGAAUGGGAGGAUUUGGUUGUGUUUUGGAAAAUUUUAGUGAAUUUGAGAAUUCAUUUCUGCUGCUACGUACAGCCAGCGUUUGAACGUCUCUAUAGAGCAUUCGAACGCACAGAGGAGGGGAAUCUAGACAUGAUGCCUUAAUGUUCGAAUGCCAGACACAGUGUUCGAACGCUACAACAACUAUGCCUUAACGUUCGAACGCCUCUGUGCAACGUUCGACUGUCCAGAGAGGUGAAUAUCGCCAUUUUGCCUUAGCGUUCAAAUGUCUUUGCUGAGCAUUCGAAUGG